AGUCUCGUGGUGAAGUCUGGAGUUCACGCUGGCAUCACACGCCAGAGGUCACGGGUUCAAAUCCCGUCGAGACUG
rnacentral:tRNA from 1 species